GGGGGGGGAGAGAAAGUGCAUUGUUUUGCAUUUAAAAUAGGCUUAGUGUAGCUUAAGCAGUUGUAGCAAAACAGUUUGUAAUCAUUGAAAAUACAUUGUGUAAUUUCUGGUUCUCGCAGUGGGCAAGUUAACCCAGAUGCAGUGCGACAGCCUAUUAGCGAAAUAAACAGGUCUUCAUUACUUGGAAUCUUUUGCCGUUUUUCCUUCCACUUUUAACUACACUAGUUUUGCAAAGCAUCAGGGUUUUAGAUUGUGAUUCAAUGUGGUUCAACUUAUCCCCAUCGUGCUUUGACUGAGCAUCAACGCAUCCGUUACCAGUUCCCUAUCCAAAGUGACGUUUCCAUACAGGCAGCCUGCUGUUUCAUUCUUAACCACAAAGCAGCCUGAAAUGACUUUACUUCUUUUUACAACUUGCAAGGAGUUAAUGGACUGUGCUGGCCCCCCGCCAAAGCUUUUAAGAAACUUUAUUAAUGUAUUAUGAGGCCGGGACACCAUAGUGGGGGAUUUAAUUUGAUUAUUCAUCUUAAUGAAUAAAAAUAUGUGUGUACAAUUAAAGUCGUAUUAUCAAGUAGUUGCCUUCUAGUAAAUGUUUGGUCUGCCAUGGUCCUUGGCCUGUUGUUCCAUUUGCAGCUCAAGAUGUGCAUGCUAUUUUAAAGGGAAGUCUUCAACUUUUUUUAUAUUUGAGAUAGAUCUUUUGAGUACUUGUACUGAAAACCACUAUUAAGAGUCUUAGCAGCGUCGUGUAGGAAACAGACACAGCAAAGUUCACGCUGGGUGACAAAAUGUAAGACAAAUGUUUGGCAUUUGUCUGUUUCUCACCCCUUCAGCACAAUGGCAUGACAAGUGAAACCUCCUAAGUUUCCCUCUUCUGUACACCAGUAGGGGCAUAGCAGGAAUCCUUGUUUGCAUCUGGCACAUGGGAAUUUUUAACUAUCAUCCGCAUUAUUGACAAUAUUCCUAGGUCCUUUCUUUGCAAUGUCUGCUGACAUCUUUUAAAACUGGAAGGUUGAGAUAAGUUAAAGAUGUCCCUUUCUUUUCCCACACAAGGAAAAUUGACCUUUUAAUGUAGCAUUUGUCGGAUUUUCCUCAACACCUUUUUCUUAGAAGUUUUCAGGGUUCUAGAAACUUCAAACAGACCUCUCUGAAAUGUUGCUUAUUCUCGAUGGAAGCUCCCAGUUGCUCCUUGUGCUUGGAAUGGUCUCAGGGUUUUGAAAUGGUUGCAUUUUGUAAAGGCAGGGAUGAUUUGCAAGGAAUAUGAAGAGCACAUCUGUUGCAUUUGGACAUUAAGCUAGCCUUUGCCAGCUUGGUGCUCUCAGAUGCUUCAGACUGUAUUCCAUCAUCAUCAUCAUCUUCAUCAUCAUCAUUUAUUUAUACCCCACCCAUCUGGCUGGGUUUCUCCAGCCACUCUGGGCAGCUCCCAACUGAAUAUUAAAAACAUGAUAAAACAUCAGUCAUUAAAAACUUCCCUAAACAGGGCUGCCUUCAGAUGUCUUCUAAACAUCAGAUAGUUGUUUAUUUCCUUGACAUCUGAUGGGAGGGCGUUCCACAGGGCAGGGGCCACUACCGAGAAGGCCCCGCAACCUCACUUCUCACAGGAAGGGAACUGCCAGAAGGCCCUCGGAGCUGGACCUCAGUGUCCAGGCUGGACGAUGGGGGUAGAGAUGCUCCUUCAGGUCUACUGGGCUGAGGCCAUCUAGGGCUUUAAAGGUCAGCAUCAACAUUUUGAAUUAUGCUCGGAAACAUAUUGGAAGUCAACAUAGGUAGUUAAGGACUGGUGUUAUAUGGUCUCGGCGGCUGCUCCCAGUCACUAGUCUAGCUGGAGGGCACCAAGUCAGAGAAGGCUGCACUAAACCCUUGUCUGCUUUUACUGUACUGUUGUUUAACCAUAGCUUGUUGAAGAAGCCACGAUCCUGCUUAUGCUGCAGUUCUCAGCUAAUGCUAGCCAGUUGACUCUUCUUUGACCAUCCAGCUGCUAUACUGAACUGCUUGGCAGCAGUUGUGGUAUGGCAAAGAGUCAGCAUCAGUUUCCUAGUCAUUGGACAGCUGCAGAAUCAGAGCAGGGAACUGGGGCAUCUCAGAGAUUUUUGGCAGCUCAUGAGAAGCUCUUGAGAAGCCCCUAGGCAAAAGAAAAACACUCUUGUUUUUAUGAAACCCUCCCUCCCCAACCAGCUCAAGAAAAGGUCAUUCCUGCUGUGACCACUUUUCAACAAUAUAGGAUCUUUAAGAUAGAGAAGGGAAUGGUAAGAUGAGUACCAUUAUUAGAUCGAAUGGGGCUUGCUAAGAGAGAAAGUGCAGCCAAGUUAGAUAUGAGUAAAAUUGCCCAUCUCUCUUUACAACUUAGUUUUGCCAUUAGGCUUCCGUGAAGUUAGGCCAGUAGGCUGGCUUAUGAUUAAUUCUGAUAAUGAUUUUUCAAUGUAAUGUUUCUCACUUAUUUUUGUACGUAGAUAUAGUUGUACUGAAUACAGGAUGGUUUUGUAGGAACCAUUUGUAGGAGCAAGACACAAUUUUGAAUGACGGUUUGAACGAAAUCUUCAACACUGAGAACGUGGCUGACAUUGUCCAAGGUCAUAAUUCAUUGAAAUAAAUUGCCAUGCAUAAACGUAUAUAAUUGCAGUCUCAGGGACAUGUGUCUUCCUGUUUCUGUAAAAUGGACAUAAUCUUAGAAAUGCAAUUUUUUUUGGUUGCUGAUUGCCAUUUAUUUUUAAUAGAGAAAUUGUAUCUGGGUGCAUCAGCCAGACAGAAUUGUCUGUCCUAUCUGUGCACCCCAAAAUGGUGUGAUAUAACUGGAGAUGCGACCAUGUUUAAUAUUUGAACAUGCAAAAUGCAGCAUAGUGUGAUGCCACAGGAAAUAUGCAGCCGUAAAGCAAGUUUUUGCUAAAGAAACUUUUCACUAAUCUAGCUGAUAAUUUCUAAAUGGCAAGAGAUCAUUUGAAGUCCACUCGAUAAGAUUAACACUUAAAAUUUUACAGUUCUGGUUAGUUUAUAGAUGGAGACCGAUUACAGAUUAGCAGACUGUUUUUAAUGGAUGUCAGCGAUAAAAAGCAAAAGUUACUCAGCAUAUCUAACUGAUAAGGCUGCUGUUGAGAUAAAAAAUGUGAUUGGUUGCAUUUUAGAGGUGGGGAAGAGGAGGGGAAAGAAUGCUUAUUAACGAUUAAUGAAGAAUACUAGAAGGAAUUUGGGAACAACGAAACCCUGCGCUCUGUGGGACUUUAACUCCAGGUCACCAGUCACUUUCUUUACAAGGACAGUGAAGUUGGAUAGCUCUGUGACUUUGAACCCGAUUACUAAUCAAACAGAGGGUUAAAGUCCUUUUAUACAAAUAAUUGUCUUGUUUGGACCACCACUCUGCAGCAGAAUGCUUUAUGGGGCAAAUAACCUUAGUUUGCAGAGUGCUGGAUUCUAUUUUGUUUUUUGGGGUGUUGUUUUUUUUUGAAAACCAAUAGAAGGUAAACUAGUUUCUGCGACCAGAAGACUGAGAAUGUGAUAUUUUUAAAAAGCCAUGAAUUUAUGAAACUCCUUUAUAUUGAGUCAGAACAUUUGCCAACCUAGUCCAGUUCUUUCUCCGUAACUCUCCAAAUACCUCAGGCAGAGAACUCUUCCCAGCUCUUGCUACUUUUGAUCCUUUAUCUGAAGAUGCCAGGAUUGUAUCCUAAGAGUCACACUAACAUUUGAAAUUAUAGUCCAAAAGUUCUUCAGCAAUGCAUUCAAGAUAAUUAAUGCUGGUCCAGAUUGGUGGUUCUACCCAAAUUGCAUGCUCUUUUCAAUCUCCAUAUGAUAAUAGCCAGAUGGGAAGGAGGAGCUGGAGUGUACAAUCUUAAUGUUACUCAAAAAAACAAAUUGGUAAAUGUUUCUAUACUGUUCGUUACACACCCUGUGUUCCUCUGUUGUAAUGUGGGAAUAUUCCUAACGGCUCCAGUGCAGCUGCAGUAAUUUCUAAAUCAAUUGUUAUCUAAAAGACAAAUCAGAUUGUCAACAUCUCCGGGAUCAUAGGGCCAAGCAUUUAUUCCUCCUCCAAAAGUAUUUGUCUUACAAGGAAUGAAAAUACAUAUUGCAAUCCCAUCUAAUCCUAAUCUCGAUGCUCAUUUUGAUUUGCUUGCCUGUUCAGCUCCAGGAGUAAACAUUGCAAACUGAACAUUCCAAAUGCUGCAGAAAUUACCUAAGAAACUGUUCAUUGCUUUGAAGCUCUGUCCAUUUAGACGCUAAAGUUAUGAUACAGUUAUUCCAUAUGAGUAGAAUAAUUGCUUUAUUACAAUGUGGAAGGAAAUGGGAUCCUAAGAAAGAGAAUAGCAGUUUGAAAUGAAUAAUUCGUUAAAAAUCUUAAAUCGUGUGCUUUCCCGUGAUUUCAAUAUUAGGUGUUUUGGUAAUGAUUUCAAAGAUAUGUGCCAUUUAAACAGAAUAAAGGGUAUGUGUCAAAAAUGUCCAGCCGCUAUAAACUGAAAGGCUGUUUGUCUUCAGCGAUUUCCAAAAACAGGUUUUAAAAUAGUGUAUUCCAGAUUACUGUUGUGUAAAUCUAAUGGAAAGUAGUACAGUGGUUCAGUUUCCGAGCAGUACAAUUCAGGUUCUGUUUUUUAGGAAAUUCUUCUUCUUCUUCUUUUUACAACUCGUAACUUUUUAAACUGUAUUUUUUAUAUCACAGAGCAUCAGAAUCAUUUCCCUCUUUUCUUCCUUUCUGCAGAAGCAGGGUUUCCCAACGUGAUUCCGUACAAUCAACACAGCUUUAAAAUUAGGUUUGGCUUUUGCCCUUUGCUCAGGACGACACACUAGGUCGACGACAUUUCAGGAUAAACUCUUUGGCAGCCAUUUUAGAUGCAGCCUGCGCUGAGAGCACGCCGGCUGCCAAAAAUUGCAGACGCUCUGUGCCAAAAUACUCUUGGCAGUAGAGAUAAACUUUGUCGAGAUACACAGUCCAGAAAUAUCUUAUAAUUACAAAGCACAGGGGGCAGAAUGUUUUUACAAUACAGCUGUGCUAAUGUAAACAUUUAAUUUGGCAGCCUCCUCCACCCACUUUUCAAUUAACCGGGUUUAUGCAGAUACUUUAGGUCUGUAAUAAACUUUAUUGCUACUUCUCUUGGAGUACAGUUUAUGAAACACAGAUUUGAGGAGAUGGGGGGUGAGUGGGUUCUGUUCGUUCUGCAGAGCAGGUUGAACACGUUAUGAUGCCCAUAAAGGGGAAACGUGUAUCCCUGCUUCGAAAUGCCAUAAGGCUUGGCAUCGCUAAAAGGCUCGGCAUUGAAAAAAGCGGGGGUUGUCUCCCUUUGGCUUCUCCCAAGGAAAACAAAAGGAUAUUAUUAGAACGAGGUGAAAUCAAUCGGAGUUGCCAAAGAUCGCUUUGUAUCAGGGAUUGUUGCAAGAGACAAAGUGCCCUGCAUUGCAUAAGGGUAUUUGCAGUGCAAAGUUUUCGUUAAUGGUUCUUCCCCUGUUGUAAAUUAUAAUAAUUCUGCAAUAGCCAGUGCCGGAUUUAAGUAUAAGCUAAACAAGCUAUAGCUUAGGGCUCCACUCUCUUGAGGGCCCCCCCAAAAACUGAAAAGAAAAACAACAACUGGGUGUACAUUUCC